UGCAGGGACAGAAGUCAGCUCAGAGAACCUUCAGCCUCCUUUGGGUGCAAUGAGGCCGUGCACGUGAACAUGGAUCUUUGCAGGGGAUGUUGCAUACACAGAAGCAGGAGAGCUCUUGGGAGCACCUAAUUGAAUCAGAAAAGAAUGGGAAGCAGUGGUGUAACAAAAAGCCAGUGCAGAAUGGAGCAAAAAGCAACAGCUUCUACAGACUCACUCCUGUGCUGCAUGUACAUAGAUGUGGGGACCAAUGCUUCCAGUCAGUUCAUUGCCUCUGGAGGUACUUCUGGAAGCUCCUGAAAGGAAAGAUAUUUAUUUCAGAAACACUGAGUAGCAAUACUGGUAAAAGGUGUCACCUGGGGGCUUUCAUUAAAUCCCCAUCACAGCUUCCGGCAGCAUUACUGGACUUUGAAGGAAGCCUGCAUCCAGUCUACUCACCCCACAAAAAGUCCUGAAACAAAGAUGUGAAUAGGAGAGACAACUCAGGUUUCCCUUGGUAAUCAUAAAGGGCUCAAAUUCCCUUCCUUUCCAUCCCCAAGGGGGGUAUAAAGACUUCAUUUAUGAGAUUGUUUGCGCAUGACUAAUCUAUUUCUACUUCCUAAUUGUAAUGACUAAUGCAUCUUACAAGCAAAUAUUAGCUUGUA